GAACCCUGAAGGACACCAACAACACACAACUGAACCAGGUUCUCCUGGUCCUAGAGACCCCUGGUCCUAGAGACAGGUUCUCCUGGUUCCAGAGACAGGUUCUCCUGGUCCUACAGACCUCUGGUCCUAGAGACCGGUUCUCCUGGCCCUAGAGACCGGUUCUCCUGGCCCUAGAGACCGGUUCUCCUGGUCCUAGAGACAGCUUCUCCUGGUCCUAGAGACAGCUUCUCCUGGUCCUAGAGACAGCUUCUCCUGGUCCUGGAGACAGCUUCUCCUGGUUCCAGAGACAGCUUCUCCUGGUCCUACAGACCUCUGGUCCUAGAGACGGGUUCUCCUGGUCCUAGAGACAGGUUCUCCUGGUUCCAGAGACAGCUUCUCCUGGUUCCAGAGACAGCUUCUCCUGGUUCCAGAGACAGCUUCUCCUGGUCCUAGAGACAGCUUCUCCUGGUUCCAGAGACAGGUUCUCCUGGUCCUACAGAACUCUGGUCCUAGAGACAGGUUCUCCUGGUCCUAGAGACAGGUUCUCCUGGUUCUAGAGACCUCUGGUCCUAGAGACAGGUUCUCCUGGUUCCAGAGACAGGUUCUCCUGGUCCUACAGACCUCUGGUUCCAGAGACAGGUUCUCCUGGUCCUAGAGACAGGUUCUCCUGGUCCUACAGACCUCUGGUUCCAGAGACAGGUUCUCCUGGUCCUAGAGACAGGUUCUCCUGGUCCUAGAGACAGGUUCUCCUGGUCCUACAGACCUCUGGUUCCAGAGACAGGUUCUCCUGGUCCUAGAGACAGGUUCUCCUGGUUCUAACCUUUGUUCUCCUCGUUCUCUGCCAGGGCCUUGACACUGGACAUCAGGAUGUCGUCGUAUCCCAGGAACUCAUCCAGAAGAAACCGACUGAAGCUGUCCCCAAAACACUGAUCCUUCAUGGGGUCUGAAGAAGAGUGUGAGCAGGUCAUUAUAAUAUAGAGCAGAUCAUUAUAAUAUAGAGCAGGUCAUUAUAAUAUAGAGCAGGUCAUUAUAAUAUAGAGCAGAUCAUUAUAAUAUAGAGCAGAUCAUUAUAAUAUAGAGCAGGUCAUUAUAAUAUAGAGCAGAUCAUUAUAAUAUAGAGUAGAGUAUAAUAAUAUAGUAGAGUAUAUCCUAAUAAACAGUAUAGUAUAUCCUAAUAUACAGUAGAGUACAGCAAAAAUCUCUAAACUCAGUACAGUAACGUACCGAGCGUCACCACCAUCACCGGGAUGCUGAGUCUCUGUCUGGUGUUCUGGGACAGACGCAGGAACCCGUACUCCAGAGAAUACUCCACGAUGUACUCCUCCUGGGGCCAGACUACACACACACACACACACACACACACACACACACACACACACACACACACACACACACACACACACACACACACACACACACACACACACACACACACACACACACACACACACACACACACACA